rnacentral:rRNA from 1 species
GACGAACGCUGGCGGCGUGCUUAACACAUGCAAGUCGAACGAUGAAGAAAAGAAUCGAAGCUUCGGCAGAAAUUCAUUUCGGAUUAGUGGCAGACGGGUGAGUAACGCGUGAGCAACCUACCUCUUACAAAGGGAUAGCCUCGGGAAACCGGGAUUAAUACCAUAUAACAUUGCGACGAAGCAUUUCGAUGCAAUCAAAGCUACGGCGGUAAGAGAUGGGCUCGCGUCCCAUUAACCGGAAGGUGAGGUAACGGCUCACCAUAGGGACGAUGGGUAACCGGCCUGAGAGGGUGAACGGUAACACUGGAACUGAGACACGGUCCAGACUCCUACGGGAGGCAGCAGUGGGGAAUAUUGCACAAUGGAGGGAACUCUGAUGCAGCGACGCCGCGUGAGUGAUGAAGGAAUUCGUUUCGUAAAACUCUGUUCUAUGGGAAGAAAAGGACUGUACCAUAGGAGAAAGCUCCGGCUAAAUACGUG